UGCAUACUGUAACCGCACGAAUCGGGUACAUAAGUCGCCGCCAGUCGGCGCACCUGUAGAGGCGAGUCUGAGUAUAGGA
rfam:Brevibacillus sp. CF112 PMI08_contig_106.106, whole genome shotgun sequence.